GAAGUUUUGGUUGUCUCUCGUAAGAGUGACACUGCACACGAAACCGCGUUGGUUGUUUAUUCUCUCAAUAAUUUGGGUUGCAGAAAGGCGACAAGCAAGCGCGCAUGCAACGUGAAGUUGGCGAGAAUGCUCAGGUCGGUUUCGUGUGCUGCAUUUUUGACGCAUUCAUCUAUUGGUAACGCAUGAACCCCAUCGUAAUUAAUCGGCUUCAACGGAAGCUGGGCUACACUUUUAAUC
rfam:Raoultella ornithinolytica strain S12, complete genome.